rnacentral:rRNA from 1 species
CCAGUCUGCAUGGAGCCGACCUUGAAAUACCACCCUUUAAUGUUUGAUGUUCUAACGUGGACCCGUAAUCCGGGUUGCGGACAGUGUCUGGUGGGUAGUUUGACUGGGGCGGUCUCCUCCUAAAGAGUAACGGAGGAGCACGAAGGUUGGCUAAUCCUGGUCGGACAUCAGGAGGUUAGUGCAAUGGCAUAAGCCAGCUUGACUGCGAGCGUGACGGCGCGAGCAGGUGCGAAAGCAGGUCAUAGUGAUCCGGUGGUUCUGAAUGGAAGGGCCAUCGCUCAACGGAUAAAAGGUACUCCGGGGAUAACAGGCUGAUACCGCCCAAGAGUUCAUAUCGACGGCGGUGUUUGGCACCUCGAUGUCGGCUCAUCACAUCCUGGGGCUGAAGUAGGUCCCAAGGGUAUGGCUGUUCGCCAUUUAAAGUGGUACGCGAGCUGGGUUUAGAACGUCGUGAGACAGUUCGGUCCCUAUCUGCCGUGGGCGCUGGAGAACUGAGGGGGGCUGCUCCUAGUACGAGAGGACCGGAGUGGACGCAUCACUGGUGUUCGGGUUGUCAUGCCAAUGGCACUGCCCGGUAGCUAAAUGCGGAAGAGAUAAGUGCUGAAAGCAUCUAAGCACGAAACUUGCCCCGAGAUGAGUUCUCCCUGAGACUUAGAGUCUCCUGAAGGAACGUUGAAGACGACGACGUUGAUAGGCCGGGUGUGUAAGCGCAGCGAUGCGUUGAGCUAACCGGUACUAAUGAACCGUGAGGCUUAACCUUACAACGCCGAAG